rnacentral:rRNA from 1 species
UACGAGUGCCUCAAGCGUUAUCCGGAAUUAUUGGGCGUAAAGGGUGUGUAGGCGGUUAUGUUAGUCCCGUGUUAAAACCUUCAGCUUAACUGAAGAUCUGCAUGGGAGACGGCAUAACUCGAGGAUGCGAGAGGUGAAUGGAACUCUAAGUGUAGGGGUGAAAUCCGUUGAUAUUUAGGGGAACACCAAAAGCGAAGGCAAUUCACUGGCGCACUCCUGACGCUGAAACACGAAAGCGUGGGUAGCGAAUGGG